rnacentral:rRNA from 1 species
AUUGAACGCUGGCGGCAGGCUUAACACAUGCAAGUCGAGCGGAGAUGAGGUGCUUGCACCUUAUCUUAGCGGCGGACGGGUGAGUAAUGCUUAGGAAUCUGCCUAUUAGUGGGGGACAACAUUCCGAAAGGAAUGCUAAUACCGCAUACGUCCUACGGGAGAAAGCAGGGGAUCUUCGGACCUUGCGCUAAUAGAUGAGCCUAAGUCGGAUUAGCGAGUUGGUGGGGUAAAGGCCUACCAAGGCGACGAUCUGUAGCGGGUCUGAGAGGAGGAGCCGCCACACUGGGACUGAGACACCGCCGAGACUCCUACGGGAGGCAGCAGUGGGGAAUAGUGGACAAUGGGGGGAACCCUGAUCUAGCCAUGCCGCGUGUGUGAAGAAGGCCUUAUGGUUGUAAAGCACUUUAAGCGAGGAGGAGGCUACUGAGACUAAUACUCUUGGAUAGUGGACGUUACUCGCAGAAUAAGCACCGGCUAACUCUGUGCCAGCCGCCGCCGUAAUAC